AGAAAUAAUUACAAAUUCCCAAUGCAGUUACAGGAUCCUGGGAAGCAGAGUGUCUGGAUGGAACCUGAGCUGGGUCUCUGACUCACUUCUGACUUUAGGGUGAAGAUGGAGGGAAUCUGAUAAAGACAUCUUAUAAAUUCAACAGACACAAAAGAAUUUGAUCUCCCAUAAGCAACUGUGAAAUUACAAUAACAGAUCCUGGGAAGUUCUACAAUUCUAAUUCAGGUUUACAAGUUUUCUUCUCAUCUAUUCAGUAGAUAUUUUGUCGAGUACCUGUGCUAGGUUCAGCUGUGCCCCCAAAACAUGUACAUUCCUAACUUUUAUUACCUGUGAAUGUGAUCUCAUUUGCAAAUAGGGUCUUUGUACAUGUAACUGAGUUAAGAUGAGGUCAUACUGGAUUAGGGCAGACCCUAAUCCAAUGACCGAUGUCCUUAUAUGAAGAGGGAAAUUAGACACAGAGACACACAGAGGAAAGACAGCUAUGUGAAGAUGGUAUCAGAGAAUAGAGUGAUACUGCCACAAGUCAAAGGAUGUCAAGAAUUGCUGGCAACCACCAAAUGCUAGAAGAGUCCAGAAAGGAUUUUCUCUUAGAGCCUUUGAAGGAAGUAUGGCCCUGUUCUUCUUGAUUUUGGACUUGUAU
rnacentral:lncRNA from 10 species